rnacentral:rRNA from 1 species
UACAGAGGUCCCGAGCGUUGUUCGGAUUUAUUGGGCGUAAAGGGCGCGUAGGCGGUGUGUCAAGUCAGGCGUGAAAGCCCCGGGCUCAACCUGGGAACAGCGCUUGAGACUGGCACGCUCGAGUUCGGGAGAGGAUGGUGGAAUUCCCAGUGUAGAGGUGAAAUUCGUAGAUAUUGGGAAGAACACCGAUGGCGAAGGCAGCCAUCUGGACCGACACUGACGCUGAGGCGCGAAAGCGUGGGGAGCAAACAGGG